ACAGGGCUGGCUCCUUUUAGGGGCUCCUGCUUCCCCUAUACCUCGUGGCACCCCGUGGCUCACAGAUCCAUACCAAAUUGACCUUUCUCCCACUUUACCGCUGCCCACUUGUCACUUUCCUACAGCCCUUGUGAUCUCAUUUAGGGUAUCUCUAGACAACAAAAGAGAAUCCAGGAUUACCUCUCUGUCUCAAGCUCAUUAAUUUAACCAUGAUACAAGGUAACUUUCUACCGACGCGGUGGCAGUUACGUCCGUUACUAGACAUUCUUCCAAGUAUCAUCGCUCAAGGACCUGGCCUAUUUCCUUGUACAGGUGACUUGUCCUGGAGCAGAUUUCUGGGAUCUUCUACACCUUCUCCUUCUGGGUUCCUUUCACUGCACCAGAUGCUUGACAGAGGGAGCAUCCUCAGGGUCAUAUGACAAGGUGAACCGACAUCUUAAAACACCGGCUAGAGAGAAGACUCAAGACUUUGGAAGGCCUGCCUCAAGCUUUCCCAACAACAUGGUACUAUCUAAGAGGUUGUGGUUUUG
rnacentral:lncRNA from 1 species